rnacentral:lncRNA from 1 species
GGACUGCUAGUUCCUGUGAAGGUAGAAAGUGCAAACUUGCAGUGUGCUUUCUGCGAGUCUGUGGAAGCUGGUGGAAAGAAGGUCCUUUUUCUGGUGUAAGGAAGGUACUCUAUUAUAACUGCCCCCAGGAGAGGAGGAGAGUGGAAAGUAUUUAACAAGGGCUUUGCCCACGAGUUUCCUCCAGUGGUUUGCUAGACGAGGACUGUGGUGAGAGCAGUUGUACUGCAGAUUGUUGUUUGUUUUUGGUGGCAGUUGGUCCGCCUCCUGCCCCGUCCCGCAUCCAACAGCUCAUUGGCGGAGACUUAAGAAUGACGUCCUCGUUGGUGCGUGGGUAUCCCUGCUUUGGCUUCUUUCCGGCUCUUGAUUGGUAAUUGGAUGUGCUAGGUUCUUUCUGAUAGGUUAAUCUUUUUUCUUUGCGGUGCAAAAACCGUAUUUCAAAAACUGAACUUUUAGCGGUUUCCUGGUUCUACCGUCGGCGUCGGCCUGAAAACCUGUAACUUAAAGGUCCUAGCAGCCAAUCAUCCUUGGCGCUCUAGUCGUAGUCUCCUCCUAGCAUAAGUGAUUCCCGUAGCCAAGCUUUUGGCCAACUGUCUGAGGACUAUUAAAGUGCCUGCAGGAUGCAGCAAUUUAAAAACAAUAAUUUGUAUUGGAUUGUAAAGAGUGUCUUAAGGUUUAUGCCUAACAGUGACGUUUUCCUAGAAUGUUUAAAUCUCCUUAAGGUGAAUGUUGGUUCAUUAUUGCGUGCCUAAAAUGUAUCAGAUGCUUGGGAUACAAUCUUAAAAAUCAUUGGUGCUAUGAUAGGACUUAACAUACCACAUUCAGUGAAAGCACAAGAGGAGGAAAUAGUCAAUUCUACCUAAUGUGGUAAGGAAAGUUAAGAGUGACUUGCCUGCUAGGUUUUGGAAGAAACUUGGAAAACUGGAUGGGGAGGGGGUUCAUUUAUUUAUUACAACAGUAAGUUUCCUGGAAAAUUUCCUCAGAUCUUGAAGUAAAUCGUGAAGUAUCUGAGUGUCUGUUAUUUCCAGGUACUAUGGUAAGUGCUGCAGAUAACCAGCUAAAAUUGGUCUUUUCCAUCCGGAGAUUAAAACGUGUUAAAGUAAACAUGCAAGCAAAUUAAAAAUAAACUGUGGGGAGUUCCCCUUGCAGCUCUGAGGUUAACGAAUCUGACUAGCAUCUAUGAGGAUGCAGGUUCAGUCCCUAGACUCGCUUAGUGAGUAAAGGAUCCAGCCUUGCAGUGAGCUGUGGUGUAGGUUGCAGACGUGGCUUGGAUCCUGCGUUGCUAUGGUGUAGGCCUGCGGCUACAGCUCCAAUUCUACCCCUAGCCUGGGAACCUCCGUAUGCAGCCCUUUAAAAAAAGAAGAAGAUAAAUAAAUAAAGUUGGAGCUCACGUCGUGGCUCAGUGGUAAGGAAGCCUACUAGUAUCCAUGAGGACGUGGGUUCGAUCCCUGGCCUGGGUCAAUGGUUUAAGGAUCCUUCAGUGCCCUGAGCUGUGGUGUAGGUUGCAGCUGUAGCUCCCUAGCCUGGGAACUUCGAUAUGCUGCAGGUGCAGGCCAAAAAAAAAAGCCUAAAAAAAUAAGUAAAACUCUGUGGGAACAAAGAGCAAUAUAGAGUAGGGGGACUUCCAGAGGAGUUAGGGAGGGCAUCAUAAAAAGUGGUAGGUUUGAGCCAAAAUUUAAAGACUCUUAUUUGAAGAAGUUGGAAAGCAGGGAGCAGGGAAUUAUUUCUGGCAAGUGGCACAUACAUAUGUCAGGAGAGAAUCUGAUACAUUCUGGUGAAUCCAACCAGCUUGAACAUUACAGUUUAAGGCAGGGAAAGGGAUGGCUAAGAAGAGACUGGAGAGAUAAGCAGAGAUCACAUUAAGAAGACCUAUAUAUAUCAAGCAGAAACUUUAGAUUCCCUCAUUCUAUAGUCAGUAGAAAGCCAGUUCCAAUAGUGGCUCAGGGAUAACAAACCUGACUAAUAUCCAUGAGGACGUGGCUUCACUCAGUGGGUUAAGGAUCCGGCAUUGCUUAGGCUGUGGUGUAGGCUGGCAGCUACAGCUCCAAUUUGACCCCCAGCCUGGGAACUUCGGUAUGCCAGGGGUAUGGACCUAAAAAGCCAAAGAAAGAAAGAAGGAAAGCCAUUGAAGACUUUUGAGCUAAGAAGUAAUCAAUGUUGUGUAUUUAAAAAAAAAGUCCUUCUGACAACAAUGUUCGGGAUAGAUUACAAGAGGGUAUGAGCAGUAAAGAAGCUAUUGCAGUAAUUCUUGUAAAAUACAAGGAUCUGCAGAGGCAUAGUGCUGAUUAUGAGAAAAAGGCAGAUACCAGAUUUAUAUUUGUGAAUCAAAUUUAACAGGAUCUGGUGAUUAAGUGCUAGGGGUCUAAUCGGAGCUGUAGCCGCCAGCCUACACCAGGGCCACAGCAAUGCGGGAUCCGAACCGAGUCUGCAACCUACACCACAGCUCACGGCAACGCUGGAUCCUUAACCCACUGAGCAAGGCCAGGGACCGAACCCGCAACCUCAUGGUUCCUAGUCGGAUUUGUUAACCACUGAGCCACGACGGGAACUCCAGGAGCAGUUUUUAAGAGAAAGAUGUUAAGUUUGGCUGGGACAUGUUGCAUUUGAAGUCCCUAGGUGGCAUCAGACUAGAAAUAACAAGCAAGCAGAUGAAUAUUUUUAACUGCCAAUAAGAAAUUUGGCCUGUAUGUGUAGAUUAGGAAAUCAUCAGUAUAUGAUUGUGAGGUAUAGAGAAUAUUUUUUGGUUGGUUGCUGUUUUUUAAUUUAAUUUUUUUUUUAAAGGGCUGCACCCAAGGCAUAUGGAAGUUCCCAGGCUAGGGGUCAAAUAGGUGCUGCAGAUGCUGGCCUAUACCACAGCCACGGACCCAGAUCUGAGCCGGGUCUGCAGCCUACACUGCAGCUCACCAAAUCCUUAAUUCACUGAGCGGGGCCAGAAAUCGAACCCACAUCCUCAGGGAUACUAGUAGGAUUCAUUACUGCUGAGCCACAACGGGAACUCCAGGUUGCUAUUUUUAAAUAUGAGCUUUUGCAUUCAUUAUGUCCCUAAAAUACCCCUAUAAAGUAUGUUGUUUAUGGAGUUCCUGUUGUGGCGCAGCAGAAACGAAUCUGAGUAGGUUUCAAGUUCGAUCCCUGGCCUCACUCAGUGGGUUAAGGAUCCGGCAUUGCCAUGAGCUGUGGUGUAGGCUGGCAGCUGUAGCUCAGAUUAGACCCCUAGCCUGGUAACCUCCAUAUGCCGUGGGUGCGGCCCUUAAAAAGACAAAAGGAAAAAAAAAAAAAAAAGCUGUGUUGUUUUAUUCUAAUUUUACAUAUGAGCAAACUGAGAUAGCGAGUACAUUGCAGAGCUAGGGCUUAAUGAAUGUGCACUUUGGAGUAAAUGGAAUAUGAAAAAAGGUAUUAGUAAAAAAUCAAAUACAGGAAGUUCCCUUGUGGUAUGGCAGGUUAAGGAUCCAGUAUUGCCACAACCGCAGAGUGGAUUUGAUCUCUGGUCUGGGAACUUCCAUAUGCCAUGAGUGUGGGGGAAAAAAAAUCAAAUACAGAUUAUGAAAACUUGACUUAAAAAAAAUCAGGAAGUUUGACCACACCCUUUAUUACCAAGGAUGGGGGAAACAGGCACUCUCUUGCGUUGCCAGUGGAAACAUAUAUUCACAAAAUAUGUACCAAUACAUACAUUAGAUUUUGGUCUUGGCAAUAUCAAUUAAAAUUAUAUAACAGUAUCCUACAAUUAUACUGCUUGUGGAUGCUGUAAUAAGCCUUCCCAGACGGCGCCUCGGAACUAAAAGAUGUACUGUUACCCCAAGCUGCUGGAAGUGCUGCCACAGAGAGCCUUUCAGCUGUCAGCCCUCUCCAGGAACUACCUUAGCUAAAGAUCCACGUUACUACCUCACCUCAUCAUUUUCCUAGAGCAAUCUACAUCCAAUGACUAAUAAAUAUAGGGAUAUAAAGGCACAAAUCUCUCAAGAAUAGACAAUGGGAAAAAGACAGUCUCUUCAGCAAGUGGUGUUGGGAAAAUUGGAUGGAUGGCCACAUGCUAAUCAAUGAAGUUAGAACACACCCUCCUGCCAUACACAAAAAUAAAUUCAAAAUUGCUUAAAGACUUAAACAUAAGACAUAAAACCAUAAAACUCCUAGAAGAGAUCAUAAGCAAAACAUUCUCUGACGUAAAUCAUACCAGUGUUCUCUACUCCCAAGGCAAGAGAAAUAGAAACAAAAAUAAACAAACAGGGGAGUUCCUGCUGCGGCACAGUGCUUUAAGGAUCUGGUGUUGUCUCAGCAGCAGCCUGGGUUCAAUCCCCCACCCGGCAAAGUGGGUUAAGGUUCUGGAGUUGCCACAGCUGUGGUGUUAUGAUGGCUGUGCAACUAUAAAUAUAAUAAAACUCAUAUAAUAAAAAAGAAAAAUAAGUUAAUGGAAUCUAAUCAAAUUUAUAAGCUUUUACAUAGCAAAGGAAAUCAUAAAUAAAGCAAAAAACAACAUACGGACUGAGAGAAAAUAUUUACAAACAAUGUGACCGAGAGGGGCUUAAUUUCCAAGAUACACAAAUAGCUCAUACAAAUCAACAACAACAAAACAACCCAGUCAAAGAGAAAAAAAUGAAGACCUAAAUAGACAUUUAUCCAAAAAAGAUAGGUGACUAAAAAGCACAUGAAAAUAUUUUCAACAUUGCUCAUUAUUAGAGAAAUGUAAAUCAAAACUGCAAUGAGGUGCCUCUUCACACCAGUCAGAAUGGCCAUCAUCAAAAAGUCUACAAAUACUAAAUGCUGGACAAGGUAUGGAGAAAGGGAACCCACCUACACAGUUAGUGGGAGUGUAAGUUGGUACAACCACUAUGGAACAUAGUAUGGAGGUAACUCAGAAAACUAAAAAUAGAGUUAUCAUUUGAUCCUGCAAUUCCACUCCUGGGUAUAUAUCCAGAAAAAAAAACAAUAAUUCAAAAAGAUACAUGCAGGAAGUUCCCACUGUGGCACAGUGGGUUAAGAAUCUGAUAGCAGUGGCUCAAGUAACUGCAGAGGCUCAGGUUCAAUCCCCAGCCCAGUGCAGUGAAUUAUGUAUCCAGGGUUGCCACAGCUGUGGCAUAGGUUGCAGCUGUGACUCAGAUUCGAUCCUUGGCCCUGGGGGUGCUUCCAGAUGCCACAAGUGCAGACAGAAAAAAAAAAAAAAGUACGUGUACCCCUGUGUUCAUAGCAGCACUAUUCACAAUAGCCAAGACAUGGAAACAACCUAAAUGUCCACCAACAAAUGGAUGGAUAGAGUUCCCAUAGUGGCACAGCAAAAAUGAAUCUGACCAAUAUCCAUGAGGACACAGGUUCAAUCCCUGGCCUCGCUCAGCGGGUUAAAGAUCUGACAUUGUGGAGUUCCCGUCAUGGCGCAGUGGUUAACGAAUCCGACUAAGAACCAUGAGGUUGCAGGUUCGAUCCCUGGCCUUGCUCAGUGGGUUAAGGAUCUGGCGUUGCCGUGAGCUGUGGUGUAGGUUGCAGACCCGGCUUGGAUCUCACGUUGCUGUGGCUAUGGCGUAGGUUGGCAACUGUAGCUCUGAUUAGACCCCUAGCCUGGGAACCUCCAUAUGCCACAGGUGCGGCCCUAGAAAAGGCAAAAAAACAACAAAAAAAAAA